AGGAGCACUGGGUGGUGGAGGAGCAGUGAUGCUGCAGGAUCACUGUGUGAGAGAGGACGCUGCAGAUAAGUGCUGAGUCGACCUUGCACAAGAACAACAGGGGGAUGCAAUGGAGCCUGAACUCACCCCGCAAUGAAACAACCCCCUUACCCUGAGUCUCAACUCCGUGGGUUUUGCAAGCCUUUCCCUGUUCCUUAUUUUUAAUAAACCAAACACUGAGCUUCCC